UACGAGUACCCCAAGCGUUAUCCGGAAUUAUUGGGCGUAAAGGGUGAGUAGGUGGUUUUAUUAGUCGAGUGUUAAAGAUCUGGGGCUCAACCUCGGAUGUGCACUCGAAACGGUAAAACUAGAAUAUGUGAGAGGUAAGCGGAACUCUAUGUGUAGGGGUAAAAUCCGUUGAUAUAUAGGGGAACACCAAAAGCGAAGGCAGCUUACUGGCACAUUAUUGACACUGAAUCACGAAAGCGUGGGUAGCGAUACGG
rnacentral:rRNA from 1 species